GCGUCGAUUGCGUCGAUUGCGUCGAUUGCGUCGAUUGCGUCGAUUGCGUCGAUUGCGUCGAUUGCGUCGAUUGCGUCGAUUGCGUCUUUCGGAUUUGAUUUUUUUGUUUUGCAGGAAUAUCUAGAUUCGAGGACAACCACUUCUACUAUCCUGCGGGCAACUGUACACAGUUUUGCCGAGCCAUAGAUGAUUCAUGAGACUUGUCACUCGUACGUUUCACGAGGAUAUUGUUCUACGUAUCAAGUUCAGGGACAGGAGACAGCUAGGCCAUCAAUCACCAUCCCAAUCACCGAUAUUCACGGAUUAUUGUGCAACUGGCAUUUUCGUAUUAAAUCAGUAGUUUCUA